UAUUGGGCGUAAAGCGUCCUCAGGUGGUCAGCCAAGUCUGCCGUCAAAUCAGGUUGCUUAACGACCUAAAGGCGGUGGAAACUGGCAGACUAGAGAGCAGUAGGGGUAGCAGGAAUUCCCAGUGUAGCGGUGAAAUGCGUAAAGAUUGGGAAGAACAUCGGUGGCGAAAGCGUGCUACUGGGCUGUAUCUAACACUCAGGGACGAAAGCUAGGGGAGCGAAAGGGAUUAGAUACCCCUGUAGUCCUAGCCGUAAACGAUGGAUACUAGGCGUGGCUUGUAUCGACCCGAGCCGUGCCGAAGCUAACGCGUUAAGUAUCCCGCCUGGGGAGUACGCACGCAAGUGUGAUACUCAAAGGAAUUGACGGGGGCCCACACAAGCGGUGGAGUAUGUGGUU
rnacentral:rRNA from 1 species